CUGCUCAGACAGGUGAGGGCAGCCGACUGCUCAGACAGGUGAGGGCAGCCGACUGCUCAGACAGGUGAGGACAGCCGACUGCUCAGACAGGUGAGGACAGCCGACUGCUCAGACAGGUGAGGACAGCCGACUGCUCAGACAGGUGAGGACAGCCGACUGCUCAGACAGGUGAGGGCAGCAGACAGGUGAGGACAUACCAGCCAGCCAUUCUUAUAUGGCCCUUAAGACGGAUUUAGCGAACAACAGUUUUUUACAUGGUCUGUAAAUUCUGUGGAUUUAACAACCAAUACAUUUUACAGCUUGGUGCUCCGGUAAC